UGGGGAAUUUUGGACAAUGGGCGAAAGCCUGAUCCAGCAAUGCCGCGUGUGUGAAGAAGGCCUUCGGGUUGUAAAGCACUUUUUGUCCGGAAAGAAAUCUUGGCUCUAAUACAGUCGGGGGGUGACGGUACCGGAAGAAUAAGCACCGGCUAACUACGUGCCAGCAGCCGCGGUAAUACGUAGGGUGCAAGCGUUAAUCGGAAUUACUGGGCGUAAAGCGUGCGCAGGCGGUUUGCUAAGACCGAUGUGAAAUCCCCGGGCUCAACCUGGGAACUGCAUUGGUGGCUGGCAGGCUAGAGUAUGGCAGAGGGGGGUAGAACUCCACGUGUAGCAGUGAAAUGCGUAGAGAUGUGGAGGAAUACCGAUGGCGAAGGCAGCCCCCUGGGCCAAUACUGACGCUCAUGCACG
rnacentral:rRNA from 1 species